GGUGAACGCUGGCGGCGUGCCUAAUACAUGCAAGUCGAGCGAACGGACUAGAAGCUUGCUUCUCUGAUGUUAGCGGCGGACGGGUGAGUAACACGUGGAUAACCUACCUAUAAGACUGGGAUAACUUCGGGAAACCGUAGCUAAUACCGGAUAAUAUUUUGAACCGCAUGGUUCAAAAGUGAAAGACGGUCUUGCUGUCACUUAUAGAUGGAUCCGCGCUGCAUUAGCUAGUUGGUAAGGUAACGGCUUACCAAGGCAACGAUGCAUAGCCGACCUGAGAGGGUGAUCGGCCACACUGGAACUGAGACACGGUCCAGACUCCUACGGGAGGCAGCAGUAGGGAAUCUUCCGCAAUGGGCGAAAGCCUGACGGAGCAACGCCGCGUGAGUGAUGAAGGUCUUCGGAUCGUAAAACUCUGUUAUUAGGGAAGAACAUAUGUGUAAGUAACUGUGCACAUCUUGACGGUACCUAAUCAGAAAGCCACGGCUAACUACGUG
rnacentral:rRNA from 1 species